rfam:Brachypodium distachyon strain Bd21 chromosome 3, whole genome shotgun sequence.
CAAAUACUCCCUCCGUCCAACAAAAGAUGUCUCAAGUUUAUCAAAAUUUAGAUGUAUCUAGACAUAACUUAGUGUAUAGAUGCAUUCAAAUUUAGUUAAAGUUAAAUUUCCUUUGUUGAACGGAGGGAGUAGUAA